UCCACGCAGUAAACGAUGAAUGUUAGUCGUCGGGGGCCUAGUGUCUUCGGUGAUGCAGCUAACGCAUUAAACAUUCCGCCUGGGGAGUACGGUCGCAAGAUUAAAACUCAAAGGAAUAGACGGGGACCCGCACAAGUGGUGGAGCAUGUGGUUUAAUUCGAAGAUACGCGAGGAACCUUACCUGGGCUUAAAUGCAGAAUGCAUUUACUCGAAAGAGUAAUUCCCUUCGGGGC
rnacentral:rRNA from 1 species